CGAUAGUUAAAGGCCUAUAUAAUCUUUAUUAUAGGAUGAGAAAAUUAAAUUUGUACAACAUAUCCGAUACUUAACGUACAGUAACAUGGCACAUUUUCAUACAUCUCGUUGUAUGUAAUGAAUUAAUUUAAAGAAAUGAAAGAAUUUUUCUACGUUUUAUUCAACUAUAUUUUCGUCAUCUUUAGGAAUGGAUGAAAUUACAAUCAUAACAGUGCCUUUUAUACCCUAGUUACAGCUACUGUCUUUCUUCUAGUGAUGAUGAUAUGCGUAUUAAUAUAUAGAACAAUAUAAGUGUAUAGUUCGUUGGGUUCACAUUUACUAUGACCAAGAUAUUGUCAGUGAGUUUCCUUCGUUUUUUGAAGAAGGGUUAUUAGUGCAGCUAGGAUUCAACUCGUCGACAUAUUUUCAUGCUUUUCAAAACUUUCCAUCCUUCGGUACGUAACACCUUGU